GUAGCUAUUCUACAUUGAAAACACUGGUUCUCGUCCGAUAACCGAAGUUAAGCAAUGAAGGCCUGGUCAGUACUUGGGAGGGUGACCACCUGGGAACACCGGGUGCAGCAUACU
rnacentral:rRNA from 1 species